AUUGAACGCUGGCGGCAUGCCUUACACAUGCAAGUCGAACGGUAACAGGUCUUCGGAUGCUGACGAGUGGCGAACGGGUGAGUAAUACAUCGGAACGUGCCCGAUCAUGGGGGAUAACGGAGCGAAAGCUUUGCUAAUACCGCAUACGACCUACGGCUGAAAGCAGGGGACCGCAAGGCCUUGCGAGGACGGAGCGGCAGAUGGCAGAGUAGGUAGGUGGUGGGAUAAAAGCUUACCAAGCCGACGAUCUGUAGCUGGUCUGAGAGGACGACCAGCCAAACUGGGACUGAGACACGGCCCAGACUCCUACGGGAGGCAGCAGUGGGGAAUUGUGGACAAUGGGCGCAAGCCUGAUCCAGCCAUGCCGCGUGCAGGAUGAAGGCCUUCGGGUUGUAAACUGCUUUUGUACGGAACGAAACGGCCCUUUCUAAUAAAGGGGGCUAAUGACGGUACCGUAAGAAUAAGCACCGGCUAACUACGUGCCAGCCGCCGCGGUAAUAC
rnacentral:rRNA from 1 species